AGGUCGGGGUGCUCGAAAGAGAACCGUCACACAGGUGCUGCAUGGCUGUCGUCAGCUCGUGUCGUGAGAUGUUGGGUUAAGUCCCGCAACGAGCGCAACCCUUGUCCCUAGUUGCUACGCAAGAGCACUCUAGGGAGACUGCCGGUGACAAACCGGAGGAAGGUGGGGAUGACGUCAAGUCCUCAUGGCCCUUAUGGGUAGGGCUUCACACGUCAUACAAUGGCCGGUACAGAGGGUUGCCAAAGCGCGAGCUGGAGCCAAUCCCCAUAAAAGCCGGUCGUAGUCCGGAUUGCAGUCUGCAACUCGACUGCAUGAAGUCGGAAUCGCUAGUAAUCGCGGAUCAGCAUGUCGCGGUGAAUACGUUCCCGGGUCUUGUACACACCGCCCGUCACACCAUGGGAGUGGGUUCUACCAGAAGUAGGUAGGCUAACCGCAAGGGGGCCGCUUACCACGGUAGGAUUCAUGACUGGGGUGAAGUCGUAACAAGGUAACCGUAA
rnacentral:rRNA from 1 species